rnacentral:tRNA from 3 species
GGGUCCAUAGCUCAGCGGUAGAGCAGCCGGCUCAUAACCGGUCGGUCCCUGGUUCGAAUCCGGGUGGACCCACCA